rnacentral:rRNA from 1 species
UUGAACGCUGGCGGCAGGCCUAACACCUGCAAGUCGAGCGGAUGAAGGGAGCUUGCUCCUGGAUUCAGCGGCGGACGGGUGAGUAAUGCCUAGGAAUCUGCCUGGUAGUGGGGGAUAACGUCCGGAAACGGGCGCUAAUACCGCAUACGUCCUGAGGGAGAAAGUGGGGGAUCUUCGGACCUCACGCUAUCAGAUGAGCCUAGGUCGGAUUAGCUAGUUGGUGGGGUAAAGGCCUACCAAGGCGACGGUCCGUAACUGGUCUGAGAGGAUGAUCAGUCACCCUGGAACUGAGACACGGUCCUGACUCCUACGGGAGGCAGCAGUGGGGAAUAUUGGACAAUGGGCGAAAGCCUGAUCCAGCCAUGCCGCGUGUGUGAAGAAGGUCUUCGGAUUGUAAAGCACUUUAUGUUGGGAGGAAGGGCAGUAAGUUAAUACCUUGCUGUUUUGACGUUACCAACAGAAUAAGCACCGGCUAACUUCGUG